rnacentral:rRNA from 1 species
UGGGGAAUAUUGGGCAAUGGGCGAAAGCCUGACCCAGCAACGCCGCGUGAAGGAAGAAGGCCUUCGGGUUGUAAACUUCUUUGACCGGGGACGAAAUUUGACGGUACCCGGAAAACAAGCCACGGCUAACUACGUGCCAGCAGCCGCGGUAAUACGUAGGUGGCAAGCGUUGUCCGGAUUUACUGGGUGUAAAGGGCGUGUAGGCGGGAGUGCAAGUCAGAUGUGAAAUCUCUAGGCUCAACCUAGAGUCUGCAUUUGAAACUGUGCUUCUUGAGUGAUGGAGAGGCAGGCGGAAUUCCGAGUGUAGCGGUGAAAUGCGUAGAUAUUCGGAGGAACACCAGUGGCGAAGGCGGCCUGCUGGACAUUAACUGACGCUGAGGCGCGAAAGCGUGGGGAGCAAACA